AGGGAAUAUUGCGCAAUGGAGGGAACUCUGACGCAGCGACGCCGCGUGAGCGAUGAAGGUCUUCGGAUCGUAAAGCUCUGUCCUUGGGGAAGAAGGUCUUCGGACUUGACGGUACCUAAGGAGGAAGCCCCGGCUAACUACGUGCCAGCAGCCGCGGUAAUACGUAGGGGGCAAGCGUUGUCCGGAAUUAUUGGGCGUAAAGGGUGCGUAGGCGGCCUUUUAAGUCAGAUGUGAAAGCCCACGGCUUAACUGUGGGACUGCAUUUGAAACUGGAGGGCGUGAGUAUCGGAGAGGGUAGUGGAAUUCCCAGUGUAGCGGUGGAAUGCGUAGAUAUUGGGAGGAACACCAGUGGCGAAGGCGACUACCUGGACGAAAACUGACGCUGAGGCACGAAAGCUAGGGGAGCAAAC
rnacentral:rRNA from 1 species